ensembl:lncRNA
AUUACACUAUAGAGAUUUACUGGGGCUGGAGAUGUAACUCAGUGGUGGAGCACUUGCUACCAUGCACAAGGCCUUAGGUUCAGUGCCCAGAACCACCAAAAAAUUAUUGAGCUCUGCCCAUGUGCCAAAUACUAGACUACGUAGUACAGUACAAGUGUCUCAGUUGCGUAGGGUCUACUGAUAUGAAAAUAAACACACAACACAGUGAAUUCAGCAAAAGGAGUUUACACAACGUUCUGAGUUUAGGAAAUUAAGUAUAUAGCAGGUAAAGUACCUAUUGUUCUCUGGUGACAGCAUACCUAGAGUCCUAUUUUUAAAGUAGUGAAUAUCUUUUUAUCAUUAAAUUAAUAAAUCCAAAACUAUGGAAUUAUGGCAAUAGAACUGUAAGCCUCAUAGAGCAAAACACAGAGUUCUGUUAUGUUUUGAGCAAUAGUACAUCAGUUCUAGGAAUUCUGGAGACCCUUGGGGUUCUGUGUAGUGGGCAGAUUGACAAACAAUUGAAACCCUGUGUGUACUUAGACAUAACGAUUCAGAAGAAAGGGGAGGAACAGAGAUCUGGUCUUUGUCUUGUUUUCUUCCCCUGAGCCUGGCACAGUGUGUGCAGCGUUGUAUACACACCACCUCGUUUGAUACUCAACAGUGACCUGUGGGGUGAAAAUCAUUAUUCUCAUUUACAGACGAGGUCACAGAACCAGAGACGUGGAGCAAGGUUACGGACGUAGGGAGUGGAGAGACAGGGCUGGGAUGCAGGAAUGUCAGGCUCUAAAGCCCUUUCUGGUUUUGCAUUCUGGACCCUGAAAACACUCCUGCUACACUGACAGGGAAUGACGUGUAAUCAGCCCAAUGCAGGUCUCCAAGGCUUCAGCCCCGCAUAGAGCUGCUCCUUGCCUUCGUGAGCUGCGUCCUCUGUGCUGCUUGGGAGGAUGAUUGAUCCAGUGCUGCACCGAUGCUGAGUCUCUUCACUUCUGCUUCUCUAGAUCCCCGUGAAAAAUGAUUCUCUAAAAGCCAGAUGUGCUGUUAGAGCUUCAUUGCAGGCAUGAGGUAAAGAAGUCCAGUGUUAUGAUGUGCACCUGAGAGAAGAGGAAACGAGGUCCCGCUGACAAGUGCCGAGACUCACCCAGCUUUCUUAGCAGGCUCCUACAGCUCCUGUCUGGCCCCCAGCCCAAGCUCUCUCCACUGCCCCCAGCUUUUCCAGAGUGAAAAAGGUUACACUGGACUCCACGUUAGAGGAGGAAGCUGAUAAAAGCAGCCCCAAGUUAGAAGCUGGCGCCCUCCUAGCAGCAUCAUGGGUGUUACAGGAAGCCAGGUUGCCAUCCCACCAUGGAAAAGCAGCUCUCCUCGUGGCAACACAUUCUGCUUUGCAUCCCUGCUUGGUGACAUGGGUGAGGCUGGGCCACAUGCUGGAACCUGGUGGGACAGGCCGGGGAGGAGGACGGUGCGGCCUCCUUGGACUCAUGCUUCUUGUUUGGAAACUGGGGACAUGAAUAUUCACGACUCCUGCCCUGUUGGGCUAUCAGGAGAUCCAGCACUGUGUACAUGGAAGGAUUUGAAGACUAAACUUCUGUGAAGGAAACAGAGCAGCGUGGCACUUGGAAGAUCAAACCCUGGGAAACCGAGGACAAACACCUGGCAGAGCCUAGCACUGCAACGGUGAUUUCUCUGCAGGUCUCAACUUGACUUCUGCCUCAAAGCUGUGUGGUUUAGGUCCACUCUUUCCCAUCGGCCCUUCUCUUCUGGGGACACUUAUCAAAGCAAAAAUCCCCCUCAUCCAUCCCUCCCUCCCUUCCUUCUUUUCUUCUACUUUCUUAUCAUAUAUUAAACAUAUACCAUUGUCUCCCAGUUACAGGAACCAAAAAUAAUGGUCCCUCAGUGUAAUUCUAAUGGGAGAUACAGGCUCCUCUGUGUGUGUGUAUUUAUGUGUGUGUUUAGGUGUGUAUACAUGCACGUACACAUGUUUGGUAUAUUACUG